GGAUGGAUCAUUAACCAAACCUAAAAAAAUUGGAGGGAACUAAAAAGCCUUCCAAUUUUAACCCCUGUGAACUGUAACCGUCUAUAUAUAUGCAAGUUUCGACUUCAUAUAUAUCUUUUUUUAAACCCUAUAACCUAAAAUAAAAUAACAAAAAACACUAUAAUAAACUUCGGUUUGUUAUAUUUUAAAAAAUGACAACUUUCAACAACGGAUCUCUAGGCUCUUGCAACGAUGAAGAGCGCAGCGAAAUGCGAUACGUAAUGUGAAUUGCAGGACUCAGUGAAUCAUCAAAUCCUUGAACGCAAAUGGCGGUUCGUACCCUCAAAAGUAUGGACCAUGUCUGUUUGAGUGUUAGAUAAUCUCUCUCAACAAGAAAUUGUUGGAAUUGGUACUUGAAUAACCUUGUUAUUCAUUUACUGAAAUAUAUUAUACAUGGAGUGUAACAAGUGUUAACUCUAGACUAGUUACGUAAUAGACCUUUGGGUUUUUUCUUAGCUAGGAUAAGAAGUAAAUUACUAUUACAAUUCAUAAGGCUUAAAAAACAAUAUCUAAUAUGACCUCAAAUCAGGCAAGAUUACCCGCUGAACUUAAGCAUAUUAAUAAGCGGAGGAAAAGAAACUAACAAGGAUUCCCUUAGUAGCGGCGAGCGAAGAGGGAUUAAAGCUCAAAUUUAAAAUCUGGCGUCUUUGACGUCCGAAUUGUAGUUUAUGGAUUUACUCUCAAGGGCGACACUUGGUGAAAAUUCUUUGGAACAAGAUGUCAAGGAGGGUGAUAACCCCGUCUACCACUAAGUACAGUCGUCUGUAGAAGGUAUUUUCUUAGAGUCGAGUUGUUUGGGAAUGCAGCUCAAAAUGGGUGGUAAAUUUCAUCUAAAGCUAAAUAUUGGCGAGAGACCGAUAGCAAACAAGUACCGUGAGGGAAAGAUGAAAAGAACUUUGAAAAGAGAGUUAAAAGUACGUGAAAUUGUUGAAAGGGAAGCAAUUGGAACCAGUGUUACAGUAGCUAUUAUCAAUCACUUUGUUAGGCCAUUAGUGUAUGGCAUACCCAAAAGGAUGUUAUACAUUAGUUUAAGGUCGAAUAAAGUUGUGCUCUAAUGGUUAUUGUGGUCAACAUCAAUUUGACUAUUAAUAGAAGGGUAGGGAAUCAGGUAGAUUGCUCCGGCAAUUUUUAUAGAUCUCUAUUCCCGUUAUUGGUUAGAUUGAGGCAAAGAUAUAUUCUGUUGCACAAUGUACGUUUUUACGAAGCCAAGUUGUACUAGCGUUCAUAAGAUCUACGAAGAGCCAAGCUGUUCCGGGUCUUAUGGGCGUUACCUUGCUUUCUUGGUACUUCAGUACAUUUAAGAUGUUUGACGAAAUGGUUUCAAUCGACCCGUCUUGAAACACGGACCAAGGAGUCUAACACCAGUGCAAGUAUAAAAGUUUAGAAAACUUUUAGAAUGGCAUAAUGAAAGUGAAGGUAUAUUCGGUAUACUAAAGGAGGGACUUGCUAAAUUCCGAUUUAGUAAUGCACCUUCGGCCGAUCUGGAUAUUUUUUGAAAGAUUCGAGCUCGAGCAUUGUUGUUAGGACCCGAAAGAUGUGUGAACUAUGCCUGAAUAGGAUGAAGUCGAGGGAAACCUCGAUGGAGGUCCGUAGCGAUACUGACGUGCAAAUCGUUCGUCAAAUUUGGGUAUAGGGGCGAAAGACUAAUCGAACCAUCUAGUAGCUGGUUCCCGU
rnacentral:misc_RNA from 1 species